AACGUAGGAGACAAACGUUAUCCGGAGUUACUGGGCGUAAAGGGCUUGUGGGUGGUUUCGUAAGUCUGGCGUGAAAUUUCUCGGCUUAACCGAGGCAGGUCGUCGGAUACUGCGGAACUAGAGGACGGUAGAGGCGUGUGGAAUUCCGGGUGUAGUGGUGAAAUGCGUAGAGAUCCGGAGGAACACCAGUGGCGAAGGCGACACGCUGGGCCGUACCUGACACUGAGGCGCGAUAGCAUGGGGAGCAAACAGG
rnacentral:rRNA from 1 species